rfam:Candidatus Ryanbacteria bacterium RIFCSPHIGHO2_01_FTLL_48_27 rifcsphigho2_01_scaffold_34613, whole genome shotgun sequence.
GCGGGCGUAGCUCAGCUGGUUAGAGCGUUCCCCUGUCACGGGAAAGGUCGCCGGUUCAAAUCCGGUCGCUCGCG